rfam:Populus trichocarpa scaffold_9_contig_93, whole genome shotgun sequence.
UAAUUUAUUUAAGUCAUAUUAUUAUUUAAUUAUAAUAAUUACAUAUUUAAUUUUUCAGAGAUAUCAAUUAUCACAGGCUCUACUACUUCAAGCCAAUUAUAUGAGAUUUAUAACUUUGAUGACGGGCCGGAAAUUAAUG